UAGAUGGAGGGGGAAGGAUUAAAAUAAAGUGUAUUAUCAUAAGAAUUGGUUUAUACUUGGAGGAGAAACAAACAUUGUUGGGAGAUACAUGAUAUGGAGCUAGUAAUGCAUUCUAUUUGAGAGCUGGAGUUUUUAUUUAUGACAGGCCGAUGAUGUUGGUUUCUUUGUAAGUUACUCGACAGUAGUCGAUAUGAUCAUUCUAUCAUAGAUGUCCUGGACGUCUGUGCUGAAGGUCUUAAUCCAUUUCAGAGGUGAAAAACUAUUUCGAUUAUUUUCUAUGAAUUCCUUAGCUUGAUUCAUGUGCGUGUUUGUGCAUCGGGUCGCCAGAAGAGAGAGAGUUUAGUUCAUGAUAUCUUGGAUAGUUUGUAUGUGUGCUUUGAAAUUUUAUCAAGAGGGCAAUCGUUCUGUGGUGCUGAUGAUGUUAUUAACCUAUCUAGUAUUGAUGCUAUUCAAUGACACUCUAAGUGGCAGUGGGGCUCAUCUAGACUUGUUCAAUGAAUUGAAAUUUAACUUAAUCGUACUUGAAAAGU